rnacentral:rRNA from 1 species
AUUGAACGCUGGCGGCAGGCUUAACACAUGCAAGUCGAGCGAGCGGCGGACGGGUGAGUAAUGUCUGGGAAACUGCCUGAUGGAGGGGGAUAACUACUGGAAACGGUAGCUAAUACCGCAUACCAUCAGAUGUGCCCAGAUGGGAUUAGCUAGUAGGUGGGGUAAUGGCUCACCUAGGCGACGAUCCCUAGCGGGUCUGAGGGGAUAACCGGCCCCACUGGACAGGAGCACCGGUCCAACCUCCGACGGGAGGCAGAAGUGGGGAAUAUUGCACAAUGGGGGCAAUCCUGAUGCAGCCAUGCCGCGUGUGGGAAGAAGGCCUUCGGGUUUUAAAGCACUUUCAGCGAGGAGGCGUUACUCGCAGAAGAAGCACCGGCUAACUCCGUGCCAGCCGCCGCGGUAAUAC